rnacentral:rRNA from 2 species
GGUCAAGCGAAUAAGCGCACACGGUGGAUGCCUUGGCGGUCAGAGGCGAUGAAGGACGUGGCAGCCUGCGAAAAGUAUCGGGGAGCUGGCAACAAGCUUUGAUCCGGUAAUGUCCGAAUGGGGAAACCCACCCGCUUGCGGGUAUCCUGCAGUGAAUACAUAGCUGCUGGAAGCGAACCUGGUGAACUGAAAUAUCUAAGUAACCAGAGGAAAAGAAAUCAACCGAGAUUCCGUAAGUAGCGACGAGCGAACGCGGACUAGCCCUUAAGCUGAUUUGGUUCUAGGAAAAUGCUCUGGAAAGAGCAGCCAUAGAAGGUGAUAGCCCUGUAUCUGAAAGGGCCAUUUCAGUGAAGACGAGUAGGGCGGGGCACGUGAAACCCUGUCUGAACAUGGGGGGACCAUCCUCCAAGGCUAAAUACUACUGACCGACCGAUAGUGAACCAGUACCGUGAGGGAAAGGCGAAAAGAACCCCGGAGAGGGGAGUGAAAUAGAUCCUGAAACCGUGUGCGUACAAGCAGUAGGAGCUCCGCAAGGAGUGACUGCGUACCUUUUGUAUAAUGGGUCAGCGACUUACUGUUCGUGGCAAGCUUAACCGUAUAGGGGAGGCGAAGGGAAACCGAGUCUGAUAAGGGCGCAUAGUCGCGGGCAGUAGACCCGAAACCGGGUGAUCUAGUCAUGGCCAGGGUGAAGGUGCCGUAACAGGUACUGGAGGCCCGAACCCACGUCUGUUGCAAAAGACGGGGAUGAGCUGUGAUUAGGAGUGAAAAGCUAAUCGAACCCGGAGAUAGCUGGUUCUCCUCGAAAGCUAUUUAGGUAGCGCCUCAUAUGUAUCCUCUCGGGGGUAGAGCACUGUUAUGGCUAGGGGGUCAUCGCGACUUACCAAACCAUUGCAAACUCCGAAUACCGAGACGGACUGUAUGGGAGACACACGGCGGGUGCUAACGUCCGUCGUGAAAAGGGAAACAACCCAGACCCACAGCUAAGGUCCCAAAUUUUGUGCUAAGUGGAAAACCAUGUGGAAAGGCACAGACAGCCAGGAGGUUGGCUUAGAAGCAGCCACCCUUUAAAGAAAGCGUAAUAGCUCACUGGUCGAGUCGGUCUGCGGGGAAGAUUUAACGGGGCUAAGCACAAAACCGAAGCUUGGGGUGCAUAACUUUGUUAUGCGCGGUAGAGGAGCGUUCCGUAAGCCGUUGAAGGUGGAUUGAGAAGUCUGCUGGAGGUAUCGGAAGUGCGAAUGCUGACAUGAGUAACGAUAAUGCGGGUGAAAAACCCGCACGCCGAAAGCCCAAGGUUUCCUUGCGCAACGUUAAUCGGCGCAGGGUGAGUCGGCCCCUAAGGCGAGGACGAAAGUCGUAGUCGAUGGAAAGCAGGUUAAUAUUCCUGCACCUCGCGUAAGUGCGAUGGAGGGACGGAGAAGGUUAGGUGUACCAGGCGUUGGUUGUCCUGGGGAAAGGCGGUAGGUUUGGAUCUUUGGCAAAUCCGGGAUCCUUUAAGACCGAGCACCGAGACGAGCCUUUAUGGCGAAGUCACUGAUACCACGCUUCCAGGAAAAGCUCCUAAGCUUCAGCUUACGCAGACCGUACCGUAAACCGACACAGGUGGGUAGGAUGAGAAUUCUCAGGCGCUUGAGAGAACUCGGGUGAAGGAACUAGGCAACAUGGCACCGUAACUUCGGGAGAAGGUGCACCCUUUUUGGUGGCUCGUGCGAGCUAUAGCUGAAGAGGGUCGCAGUAACCAGGCCGCUGCGACUGUUUAUCAAAAACACAGCACUCUGCAAACACGAAAGUGGACGUAUAGGGUGUGACGCCUGCCCGGUGCUGGAAGGUUAAUUGAUGGGGUCAGCCGCAAGGCGAAGCUCUUGAUCGAAGCCCCAGUAAACGGCGGCCGUAACUAUAACGGUCCUAAGGUAGCGAAAUUCCUUGUCGGGUAAGUUCCGACCUGCACGAAUGGCGUAACGACAGCGGCGCUGUCUCCACCCGAGACUCAGUGAAAUUGAAAUCGCUGUGAAGAUGCAGCGUUCCCGUGGCAAGACGGAAAGACCCCGUGAACCUUUACUAUAGCUUUACACUGAACGUUGAGUUCGUCUGUGUAGGAUAGGUGGGAGGCUAUGAAACUGUGGCGCUAGCUGCAGUGGAGCCAUCCUUGAAAUACCACCCUGUCGUGCUUGACGUUCUAACCUGGGCCCAUUAUCUGGGUCGGGGACCGUGUAUGGUGGGUAGUUUGACUGGGGCGGUCUCCUCCUAAAGAGUAACGGAGGAGCUCGAAGGUACGCUCAGCGCGGUCGGACAUCGCGCACUGUGUGCAAAGGCAUAAGCGUGCUUGACUGCAAGAUCGACGGAUCAAGCAGGUAGGAAACUAGGACUUAGUGAUCCGGUGGUUCUGUAUGGAAGGGCCAUCGCUCAACGGAUAAAAGGUACUCCGGGGAUAACAGGCUGAUACCGCCCAAGAGUUCAUAUCGACGGCGGUGUUUGGCACCUCGAUGUCGGCUCAUCACAUCCUGGGGCUGUAGUCGGUCCCAAGGGUAUGGCUGUUCGCCAUUUAAAGUGGUACGCGAGCUGGGUUCAGAACGUCGUGAGACAGUUCGGUCCCUAUCUGCCAUGGGCGUUGGAGAUUUGAGAGGGGCUGCUCCUAGUACGAGAGGACCGGAGUGGACGAACCUCUGGUGUUCCGGUUGUCACGCCAGUGGCAUUGCCGGGUAGCUAUGUUCGGAAGCGAUAACCGCUGAAAGCAUCUAAGCGGGAAGCGCGCCUCAAGAUGAGAUCUCCCGGGGCACAAGCCCCCUGAAGGAACCAUAUAGACUAUGUGGUUGAUAGGUCAGGUGUGUAAGUACAGCAAUGUAUUGAGCUAACUGAUACUAAUGAUCCGUGUGGCUUGACCAU